CCUACGGGUGGCAGCAGUGAGGAAUAUUGGUCAAUGGGCGGAAGCCUGAACCAGCCAAGUAGCGUGAAGGAUGACUGCCCUACGGGUUGUAAACUUCUUUUAUAAGGGAAUAAAAUGCGGCACGUGUUCCGCUUUGCAUGUACCUUAUGAAUAAGGCUCGGCUAACUCCGUGCCAGCAGCCGCGGUAAUACGGAGGAUCCGAGCGUUAUCCGGAUUUAUUGGGUUUAAAGGGAGCGUAGGUGGGUUGUUAAGUCAGUUGUGAAAGUUUGGGGCUCAACCGUAAAAUUGCAGUUGAUACUGGCAGCCUGGAGUACAGUAGAGGUAGGCGGAAUUCGUGGUGUAGCGGUGAAAUGCAUAGAUAUCACGAAGAACUCCGAUUGCGAAGGCAGCCUACUGGACUGCAACUGACGCUGAUGCACGAAAGUGUGGGUAUCGAACAGGAUUAGAUACCCGAGUAGUC
rnacentral:rRNA from 1 species